rnacentral:rRNA from 1 species
UCGGUGGUGAAAUCCCAGAGCUUAACUCUGGAACUGCCAUCGAUACUGUUCAGCUUGAGUAUGAUAGAGGAAAGUGGAUUUCCUAGUGUAGAGGUGAAUUGCGUAGAUAUCGGGAAGAACACCAGUGGCGAAGGCGCUUUCCUGGUCAUUACCUGACCCUAAGGACCAAAAGCUGGGUAAGCAAAAGGAAUAAAAUCCCCUCGGUAGCCCUGCCCGUAAACGAUGUGUGCUAGACGUUGGGAAAUUUAUUUUCCCGUUGCGCCGAUAACCAAAUAAACACACCCCCCGGGGAGGACGACCGCAAGGUUAAAACUCACUGAAAUUGACGG